rnacentral:rRNA from 1 species
CACGUAGGGCGCGAGCGUUUGUCCGGAAUUAUUGGGCGUAAAGGGCGUGCAGGCGGUCUGUUAAGUGCAGGGUGAAAGCUCCCGGCUCAACUGGGAGAGGUCCUUGCAUACUGGCGGACUUGAGGGGGGUAGAGGAAAGUGGAAUUUCCGGUGUAGCGGUGAAAUGCGUAGAGAUCGGAAGGAACACCAGUGGCGAAGGCGGCUACCUGGCCUAAUACUGACACUGAGACACGAAAGCGUGGGGAGCAAACAGG